CCUAUAGUUUUUUUCCUGUAUCUUUGCACUUGAAGUGGCAUUGAGUGUGUUUUUUGAUCUUCAUUUUCUUUUUGACUUUUGGAAAUGUGUGCUUUGUGACGAGUUUGUGUCCUGGAUUACAGUUUGGGAUUACAAAUACACUGCGGUGCUUGAGUUGUAGUUCUUAAAAUACAGGCUGAGGCUGUUGUUUCUUCCCAAAUAAUAGUGGAAUGCAUAUACGCUGCUUUCGUCUAAAUAAAAAGCUUCAGGGAGAUUUAGUUAGUAAUAGUAUUAAGAUUUGCAAUUCAUGGAAGAAAAUUCUUGAUAAUUACCAUCUCUGUAAUUGAUGCUCUGCCCGUGCUUCAAUGUGUCCAGCUGUAUGUAAAUCUUCUCCAGCUACAUAUUUGUGCAUUUCUUUCCCCAUGUAAAUGAGGAAUCUCCUUGGUUUCUAUUUGGGGACCGGGACCCGAUGGAUUUGGCAUUGCCUAAUUGAAAAGCAGGAUAUGUUGCCAAGAAAGGAUUUUCCUUCUAUUCAGGGAGCGGGGCGGCGUGAGCUCCGAGCUCGCAGGCGUUUCCGUGUGCUCCCCGCCUCGGGGGCAGCGAGCGGGCAGGAAGGUUUGUAGUGCUGCCCCGGUGGGUGUCUGGGGUCUGGCUGUACCUUCAGCCCGGCCCUGGCUGGCUGAGGAAGGAUGGGACCACGUUUACAUCUCCCACGUGUGGCCUGGGCCUGGCGCUGUUCCUCCCCGUGACUUUCAUCAGUCUGCGGCUCUUGUCUGUGUGGUGGUUUGGUCUGAGGCUCUGUAGGGCAGAAAGGCUCUCCAGCCUCUAUCUGCUUUUUCUCUUAUUUUCUGUUAUUUGUAGAAAGUUCCUGCAAUGGUCACGAGUGUUUCCUGUGCCCUACUUGUGGCCAUGCCGUCAUCUCCAGCAAGCAGCUCCUUCAGCCUAAUCACACUACUCGGCCCUGUACGCCCCGUGUUAAGUCAGCACGUUGCCACAUGCCAUUGUACUGUGUCACUUGACUGGUCUGAUUUAUGUGACAAAAGUGAAUGGAAGCACCGGGAUCUCAGGAGAAUGUGCUGACCUGCCUGAUCCGGUGCCAGUUCUAAUGUGUGGAUUUUAAUCCCAUUUUUCAUCUAGGCAAAGUAGUUUUGAUGCAGGUAUACCAGUUGCUAAAGGUAACCUAUUAAAUAAGAAAAUACUACACGUGUGUGUGUGUGUGUGUGUGUGUGUAUCCUGAUACAACUCUUCGGCAGGGGGUGUGGAGCAGUAAAUAACUAACCCUGUGAAGCUUCAGUUCAGCAGUGCAUGUAGGCUGUAUCCUGAAGCCCAUUGCUUUUAUCUCUAAGGAUAUCAAAGCACCUGAGCUGGCUCUUAUCGUGCAGUUAAGUCCUGUGAUAAGUUAUUUGCUAAACAGGGCCUGUGUGAGAAUAACACUUGUUAAAAUAAUUGAGAGCACGAAGCUUGGUGCUGCAAGAUGCUUAGCAUUCAGUUGCCUGUUCAGCAGGGCACUUGUGGAGAGAGGAUCCUGCAUCUGAUUUAUAAAUAGCCCGAUUAACUUCCUCCUGCUUGCUACGGUUCUCUUUCCUUAAGUAUCUCUGGUACUUUUUUAUGAUAUCCGUUGGAAAAUAGCAGAGAAAGUGUAUGCUGAUGCCUUCUAGAGAGGUGGUAAUAUGUAGCUGGAAUCUGAAAAAUACUUUGAGCCACGAGCCUCUUUGAUCUCUGGAAAAAUCUCUACAGCAUCUUUCAAGUAAAGGCCUGCCAAUAUUUGCUUGGUUUUUGGAGAGACACCUAAGGCCUGGUUCGGGAUAGCAGUUCUGUGUCAUUUAGCAAAUAGUAUAACCUCUGCUUAUCUUACUGUCUGGGUCUCUUUCUUUGUUCACCCACUAUAUUUUCAUUGGACCCUGAUCUUUUGUCUUUGUUUCUCCCUUUGUGGCAGGGAUUAUUGUUUUGCAACAAGUAAGCUUUCUUAUCCUAGCAGGAUGAGGUUGUUACCCAGGACUGGGUCACGAUAACUUUUUUUUUUGCUCCCAUAAUAAUAAAUAAACUCGUGUUUAAGUGUAUUUUCUGAAUGGAUCUGAAAACAGAUGGGAGGGAUAAGUCCCUGUUUCUUUAUGAUAAUGUAUAGCACUUCACCUCAGGCACAUGCCUAUCUUAAAUAUCUAACACAUUGGUAGUUAGCAUUAAUUAUUUCCAUCAGCUUCAUUCUUUUAAUUAAAAGGAAUCAUUAUCAUCUCCAUGGUGGUAUAUUGAUAUAGUAAACAGUGGAGAAUCAGAAAUGAAGGUUGCUGUGAUGAACAACAUUCCUUCUGCAUUUAUGCCUCUGCUUAAUAGUCUACUGGUAAUGGGUGGCUCCAUGUGUUUUCAAGCUCAGACAGCAGCGAGGAGAUGUCUUCAGCUCUCUGUUUACCAGAAAGAUGGAAUUAAACAAAAAGGAUUGAUGAGAUUUAGAAAGAAAGCUGAAGGAGAUUUGGAUAUUAAGUAAGCUGGCAAAUACCGUGCCUGAAUCUUGGGAGCAGGAUUUAUUUUUAAGCUAAUAUAUGUUCUCUCCCACUUAAUGGAUUUUUUUAUUCCCCAGUUAUAAAAGAUUUUUAUUUUUUAGUAACUGUAUCUUGAUGCUGCAAGCUAGCAUUAAAAUUAACAGUUGGCAUCUGUCAAGCAAAGCAGUCUCCAUGUCAACUAAGUAGUAUUUGGAAGACAAUUAGAAGCCCUUGAAACACAUCAGAAGAUGUGUGGUGAGUGGGUAAGGAAAUGCUGUACAAUUUCGUUGUACAUUCAUGUACAAUUUCAUGUAUAAUUCAUUGGUACUACAGACUCUAGGUGAAAUUUCAGUAUCCCUAAUUUUUUGCUUAAAUACCAUUCUCUCAGAUUUAAAACUCACUUAGGGCCGUGUACUCAUCUGUUGUGAAUGAGCUUAAAGGAACUCAGUGGAACUGCAUCUAAGCAAAUCUGUUUCCAAGCUGAUGGAUGGACACAGCUCUUGAAAUCAAAUCCAAGGUUUGAGACUUCUUUCAGCUUGCCUCAGGUUUGUGGACUGAGCAUUUUUCUACCAACAGAAGCUCUGUAGAGUUAGUUUAGUUCUUGUAAUAAAAUUGAUGCAAUACAUCUUAUUUGUGGGAGUGUAAUUUACAUGUAUGGAUAUAUAAAAACUCCACAACAAAAAAAAACCUUUCUGUAAAGAAAAUCAGGGAUUCUGUGUGAGUGUAGAUGCAGGACAUUGAGUUUCCUGCCAGGAACGUGUAGCUGAAAUAGAGCUGGUAACAACUCAAAGACUUAUUUUGCUAAUUUCUUCAUGCCUCCGUACACUGUCUCCUCAACUUCUAUUUUUUCUUCUCAAAAAAAAAAAAAGUGAAAAACACUGAAUGGCUGCACCUAGAAACUAGGUAUCUUUUUCAUUUUUUUCAUCCUUAGUCCAUGGGUCACAGAAGUUUUUUAUUUUCACCACUCAUAGAUGGAAACUUUUCUUCUGAGCUUCCUGUGGAGGUGUGAAGGAUGCAGCCUGAGAAGCUGCCUCAUAGAAUUUGCAAGGCGGAGAGCGCGUUGUAUCCUCAUUAGGGUGGUUGGUUGGGUCGUAAGUAAGACAAAAUCAGCAGCUUUUCUCUUCUGCUGAACAUGAAUUUAGCAUUAAGUGAUCUGUUAGACUUGCUUCUUUCUUUCAGAGGGAUGUCGAGCUGUAUCUCUACUUAGAGCUUAAUUUGUAGUUGCUUUGAUAGUAGUUUCAACCCUGAGCUAUGGAAAUCCUUCCUCAUCUUUUCAAGCUCCUUGUGGGUUUUAUCAAAGGGUGGAAUUUUUCUUUCUCAAAUAUUUUCUCUGUGAAAAUAUAUUUAGAAAGUAGCUUACCAACUGCUCUUCUGCCUCCCUCUCUUCUUGCAGACUCGGGGUCUGCUACUUGCCUACGUUAUUUACUGCACAGCAUUUGCUGUGUGUAUACUGUGCUAAAAUAUUCAUGAUGUAAGACUGACUUUCAGAAAGGCAAACCACUUGAUUACCCUGUAAGGCUAAAAACAAAUGCAAAUUAAGACUUCUUUUAAUGUGCUUGUAUAUAUAUAUAUAUUAUUAUUAUAUGUAUAUUUUUUUAACUGAGUUUUACCUUUUUCCAACUAGUGCCUUACAUACUUACCUUAAAGUGUUGCAUUGGACUGUAGCAGAGAAUUUGAGAAAUCCCACAGUUGGUCAAACCAAAUGGCUUUGACAGCAGCAGCUGCUCCAGGAAUGUGCAUAGAAACAUCUGUAGCGUGCUGUGUUAGAUAAAGAGCCUUACAGGAUUGGAGAAUACCUGGAAGCAUUUAAAAGACUUGGAGAUGUAAUACAAUUGUAUUUGGAUGUGGAAUUAUUUUUAAAGAAAAGAUAGCCUUAACCUUAAAAAAAAAGAAAAAAAAAAAAGAAUGAAUGUUGCAUGUUUAUAAACCUCUGUAUUACAUUUGUAUUGCUUCUGAUACAGGGACGUAAGUUUGUUCAUGCUAUAGUUUUGGAGCACACUCCUGUAUUCCCCAGGCAGGAGGGCAUAUGUGAGAGUCCCAGAGAAAUAUGCAGGUCUGCGAGCAGCAGACAUGCUUAGAUAUUUGAUACUUUAAUUUUUCUGGGCUUAGGCUAUGUUGAUGGUCUAAGAGAACUCUGAGGAGUUUUCAGUGUCAAGUAAGAUGUUGAAAAAUACAUGGUUUUUUUCUUUGCUUAAUAUUUUUCUUAGAUAAAAAACUUAGUUCUUAAAGACAAUCCUCACACACCAAGAAGUUUCACAAGGACACACAAAUCAAAUUGUAGUUUCAAUGUGAAAUAUGAUUUUAGUGCUGCAGCAUUGAAAUUCUAUGCCCUUACAGACUGAAGUGUGCUUUUGUCCUUAGAGAGCAUGGGGUCAACUCAUCCAGAGUCAGCUACGGAAAUGGCUUUCCAAAACCAAGUUUUUAGUUUACUUCAGCACUCACUGCCUUAUAAUUUCUGAAGGCGAAAGGUCAGCCUGAUGGUCUCACUAGUUCGUAUUUUUUUUUGCAGAGCAUGCUGGAGGGUGGAAUUGGGUAUUACGUGGCAUGUAAAUACUGUUUGAGGGGAAUGCAGGAAUGCAGUAUGUGCUCUAAGUUCUGUCUUAUUAGAGCAGGUUUCUUUAACUAAUAAUGUGCAUAGCAGAAAAAAAGAAUAGAAACACAAACUUGUGUUAAUAAAUAAAUUUCUGCUCCUCUGUGUAUUGGAGAGCAUUGUUUGCACACGAAAAAGAAAACUGGGUUAAUAUGGAGAAAUGCUUGCUACAGGAUAAAAGGAAGUAUUUUCUUCUAGAAGAAGGUGUCUUCUGCACUUGAUUGUUUAGGCAGCUUUAGUAAUUAUAAAAAAUACACACUUGAAAGGUAAGGAAAAUUCAGUGGUUAAGCUGCAGUUAACCAUGUGGGUAGUCCACAUCUCCAAGUGGGUGUGCAUAUCAAAUCUGACGGUGCCUUAAAGCAAUGUAUUGGGGGGUGAGGGGAUGGAAAUCUGCCCUCACUGCCCCUGCUGCACGUACUCACAAGACAGAUUCAGCGCAGAGGCAGGACUGCAAUCGGAGACCACAGCCAAAUGUGUUCAUACAUUUGUGGCGUUAGUGUUUCAGUUCCAUUUCUUUUCAAAUGAAUAGAAGAACCUUUUCAAAGAUAGCAUUUCAAGAAAGAUUAGGCUUCCAAAUACUGAGCUGAGCGUAAUCAGCAGGUGACAUUUGAGACCAGUAAUUUUUAUGUAUUUUAGCUGAAGCCUGUCCGUAGCACUGAUUAAGAAAAUACUUCUACUCUCCCCUCUUAUUUCAGAAAUACUGAGUAAGCUUAAAAAAGAAAAGAUUUAAUUUCUGUAGAAGUCUGUUCCUGUUGAAGUCUAAUGCAGAUCACGACAGAUGAAACCUACAAAGAGCUCCCCUGUCAGUAUUUCUGAAGGUGCCCCUGAUCCAGCUCAAAUUCUGAGGUUUGAAAUCAUCUCUGUUUUUAAUAUAGUUUUAUCUUAAAGACCUCCCCAGUCAUUCCUAAAACCGCAGUAAGGUCUCUGUGUUGCUUAAUGCUACUUUACUGAGUCUGGAUAUGAAAUUAAAUAGGAAGUGGUACAGUGAUGAUUCUCUCUCUCGUUUCUCUCUGAUUGCUGCUACCCACUGCUGCCCACUUCCUGAGGCUCCAUGCAGACCUUGGAUGAUCUGAUCUGCUUGGUUCCUGAAAGUAAAAGCCAUACACGUGCAUUACAAACAACCCUUUGGAGGUCUGCACCUUCUCGUGUCUGCAGAUAAGAGAAAAAGAGCUGCCAAGUACCUCCUAUGCCAGCAGUCCAGUGGCAUGAAAUACCAUACACCAAAGGGCAUUUUAGCACAGUGGCUUCUGCCCAGCGUUGUUCUCUCUGUGCCUGACACUCAUUAGGUGUGUUUGCAGAAGUAGCUGGGUCAGGGGCAAUGUACAACACCCAUACUGUGUUUCUGCUCAGAGCUGGCUAGAUUUAAUUGGUGGACGAACAGUCAGAGUCCACUAACAGCUUUAAUCUUGCUAUUUAUUUUUUUUUAAACUGAAAUUGCUCUGUGAUGGGCACUGGAGUUCUAGCUAGACAGGUGAAAAGACUGCAGAAAGGAGGCCUUUGGGUUCAACAAGUGCAAGUCCUUCUUUUGGCAUUUACCAUCUCAGUUCUAACUUUGUCAGUAAGGAGUGGAAGAAUAUUGCUCUCAUUAAAGAAGAAUACUUGCAAGGAAGUGUUAAUAUUGUUAAUUCUGGUUUGUGUUUGUUCUUUCAACCCCAUCAGCUAACCAAGAUACAUACCCAUUUUCUCUAGGGGGCUGCUCUUCUGUCCUUUUGACCACAUUAAGUUAGGCCUCAGCCUAUUAGUAAGGAAUUCCAGUUGUAUCUGUGUUGCCAUUCAAAUAUUCUUCAUGGAUUCAUGACUAAUUUUCAUGCUUAAAAGCACGUUUUCUGUUAUUUAUGAGCAUUGCUUAUUUUUGUUUCACUUGGACUUCCUUACCUUUUGCUGAGUGCUGCAUAGAAAUCCCUGCAGACUGCUGAAAACUUGUCUGCUUUCUAGAUGGCUGUUCUUGUUUUCCCUUGCUCUGAAUAGUUAAAUAUUCUGAUUUUGAAAUGAAUAAAUUUUCAGAAGCUUCUUGUUAAAAUUGAAACCCUACCAAUUUACUUCCAACAUUUUCCAUUUCAAGUGUUUUUUUAGAGUCCUCUUGACUAUUUCUGCUAUUCUCUUCUCUGUUGCUAUGUGAAAAAUUUAUUUCUGCGCAGGGCAAACUCACUGUUUGCUAAUAAGCUCAGCUAUGGUGUAAUAUGCUCAGUCUUAACUUGUAUUAUUAGAGUAAUCUUAACAACGACAGGCCUCUCAUAUACCUAUACACAGUGUUAGAUUAGUGUAUUACGCUUACGUUACAACCGUGUUCUUAGAUAAGGGUUGUGAAAUCUCCUAUUUAAAAUCUCCGUGAUUUUAAUAAGCCUGUUUGGGAGUUCUGGUCAUUUAUACACUGCAGAAUGUCGAGAACUGUAGGAUACAAGAAAAACAGAGCAAAGUGGUACAGAAGCCAAAAAGACUGUCAGGGUGAUUCUAAGCAACUACAGGGCCUUUUUCCCUCUCUUUCUUCCCCUCCCUCUCUGUUUGUGUAUUACCUGUAGCUUAUUAAAUGUUCUAUAGAGAAAAUUAAGGUGGAUUAAUAUUUCUAGAAUAGACACAUCACCUUGAAAUUGUGUGCUAGAAAUUGAGAUGAACAGUGUAUUAUAUUAAGAAACUGUUUUGAACUAAUAAAUACUUCUUAAUUUUAAUUUUUAUUAAAGAGUUGAUGACUGUGUUUGACUGAUGAUAUAAAUUAACUUUGUUACAAGUAUGAAUUGGUUAUUUGCACUCAUAAUCUGGAGAUUAGUUACCUGAAAUUAAAAAUGAUUUAAGUAGUUUCCUUAUAUUACUAGUUUUGCAUGGAGAAUUCUGCCUACAAGGUUUGAAAAAGCCGUGUGUGUGUGCCAUUUGUAAGAAGAGUUAAAUUAGUGUAAAGGGGAUCUCCUUUUUCAAAUAGUUUUCUAAUUCUUUUCCAUUGUGCUUUGCAGUUCUCAAAGUAGACAUCCACAAAGAGAGGAAUCAAAACCUCCCUGUAGGGAAUGCAGCUCGUUGUAUCAGUGGUAACAGCACCAGCCUGUUUUAUUCUCGUAAGUUGAAGAGGAUGUGCUGUCUUAAGAGACAGGCUUAUUAUCCUGUUGAAGUACCUUGCUGGGAUGGCACUGGAAAUUAAAAUACAAGAAAUCAGUCUCUAAAACCUCUGUUGUAGUAUUUAAAUGUGCAAAAGAUUUGACUCUGUUAUGUUCCUGUCUCCUUUGGAGAAAGAAAAUGAUUCGUUAGUCUUCAAGCAUGUAAUGGCCUUUCAUUUGCAGGGAUUUUCAGAUAGGUUAUUUUUAGUGAAGCAUUUAUCAAAAUCAUGUCUGUAUAACUUAGCAUUUAAGUGUUUAAAGUGUUAGAAAAUGGAUUAUUUUUCUUAGGUUUGUAUUGAUCAACACUGUUGUUGGAAGGUAUUUUUGCCCUUAACGAAGAAGCAAAGUUUCUCUUUUUAAGGAGCUUUACCUCUGCCUUAGUGCAGAGAUUGUUCAUUUCAUAGCAAAACCGAAGGCAGAAGAGAAAUGCAAGUGUGCUGAGAAAAGAAAAGCUUCAGGGUUAACUCUGGUAUCUGUGGGCACAUUGAUCCUUUUGAAGAAGUAUCUUUGUGUGUUUUGUCUAGCUCUAAUCUUUGCUUCUGUUCUGGAGAAACUUUACUUUGGAGUAAUGAAGUUCUUUAACAGAUCAUUUUCCUUUACUAAAUCAAUUAUUUACAGACUUUUAAAGAUUCUAUGAUUUUGAAAGACCCAAACCCUGAUGCUAAUUCCAGAUAAACUGGUGACACCUGUGCUCAUUUAUCUCAACACUGUAAUCCCUUUCAAAGGCUUGAAUUUUCCUGUUUAAUCUGCAGGAUCACGUCACAGUGUCUCCUUUCAAAGCCAUUUCUGCGUGCUCUGAAGUUGAUUGCUGAUACCAUCUGAGGCCAGUGCCAGGCUGGAGCCUGAUGAGUUUUUAUCACUGUCUGCCAUAAUGUGCCUAUGUGAAAUGUUUGGAUUGUGAAUCACAUGUGUGCUGUCACCUUUGAGUUGCAGUUCCUCUCCCCCAGUCACCCUGCCUUCCGAAAACAGGAGUGCUGCAUCAUCAGAUGUCAGGAGGCAUCCACUGGAGAUCUCUGCAUGGUCUAUUCUCUAAGUUUGACAAGAAUUUGUUAAGAAUGUGCAAUUUGAAGCAAGGAUCAGUUUCCCAGGGGCUAGUAACGCUGGGAGGCAAGUGCCUGAAUUCCAGCCUCUUUAUAGUUGUUGAAUUUCUACCAGUUUAUAUAACCGUGGAAGAUCUACUUAAAAUUAUUUUCUGGUUGUGUAAAUGUUUAUCUUCUUUCUGUAAAUUCAUUUUUUACGAAAUGACUUUGGAUACAUUUCUCCCUUCUCUCCCCUGCUCCAACAAAUCAACCCUCUCCCAAACUGUAUGCAUUUUAACUUUAUUUUUGAUUUCAGGUUUUGUAAGAAAUAAAUUUUUUUUCAAUGCUACAGUGACAGUACCAUUACAUUUUAACUUCCUGGUCGUGCUUCUCUUGGCUGAGUGCUUUGUGACAGGAACGAAAACCUUCGUCUUCGUGCCUGGCUGAUCAAGCAUGCUUACCCAAAGUGAGCUGGUAGCCUGAGGAAGCCCUGCUCUGCUUCUCAGGGAUGUGCUGAGUGCUGAUGCAAACCUUGGAGACUUGUGUUACAGGGCAGCUUGUGGUAACCUCAUAAGGAUAUAUUGGGUGCCCAGGGGCAUGUUGCAUGCUCUUGGAAGGCUGUAAAUACUUUCCCCUGUAAAGAGGCAAUAUAUCUUGGAAGUGGGAAGACAUUUGCCAACAGGAGGUGUUUGUCUGGAGAGCUUUCCUGUUUCGGCAUGUUUGUUCAAAUGUGUGACCUUCUUGCAUGCAAAUGGUCACCCUUCCCUGUGUUUGCUCUUCCCUGUGCUGAAGUUUGUUUUCCUUCUGAACUGAAAUGAAGCCAAGUGUUGAUUUGGCUGUCUGUCUUGUAGUUGCAAGUUCUUUUUUAGUUCACCCUCUCCUCUGGUUUUAGUGUAUAAUUUCAGUGCUAUUGUGAUGUUGGAGGAAAUAAAAAUGUAAAACAUGA